rnacentral:rRNA from 1 species
UACGUAGGGGGCAAGCGUUUGUCCGGAUUUAUUGGGCGUAAAGAGCGUGUGAGGCGGCCAGAUAGGUCAGACUGUGAAAACUCGAGGCUCAACCUCGAGAUGUCGGCUGAAACCAAUCUGGCUAGAGUCCGGAAGAGGAGAAUGGAAUUCCCAGUGAUAGCGGUGAAAUGCGUAGAGAUUAGGGAAGAACACCGGUGGCGAAAGCGCUCUACUGGACUGCAACUGACACU